rnacentral:rRNA from 1 species
GCAGCAGCCGCGGUAAUACGUAGGUGGCAAGCGUUGUCCGGAAUUAUUGGGCGUAAAGGGCUCGCAGGCGGUUUCUUAAGUCUGAUGUGAAAGCCCCCGGCUCAACCGGGGAGGGUCAUUGGAAACUGGGAAACUUGAGUGCAGAAGAGGAGAGUGGAAUUCCACGUGUAGCGGUGAAAUGCGUAGAGAUGUGGAGGAACACCAGUGGCGAAGGCGACUCUCUGGUCUGUAACUGACGCUGAGGAGCGAAAGCGUGGGGAGCGAACAGGAUUAGAUACCCCUGUAGUCCCUGUCUCUUAUAC